rnacentral:lncRNA from 1 species
ACUCUGAUUAAAGAAUUGUCUUUUCUGCGAAGAUUCAAGGAAUGCAACUUAGUCGGCGGCAGGGCAGUAAUUCCCGAAUGGACCUGCGCAUGCGCAGAGGGUGCUCACUACCAAAAGACACCUUGUGCCUUGCAAACAAUAUUCCUAGUGGAACAGGCAACAGAUUUCAAUUCCUUUAAAGUUCCUGUUUGUGGUGCUCCGCGUUCUCCGAUAGUAAAAGAUAUCCUGCUGUUUCUUUGCUUCGGAUCCUACGUGCAUAUGAAUAGGAAUCUCUCUUUGUGCAUUGGAGGAGGAGGAAGAGGAGCUGGUCGACUUUUGCAGUUGCUCUCCCCACUUGUCUUCCCUCCCCUUUUCGUGUCUCACCAGGCAAGAGAGUGAAGCUAGAGAAAGCAGAAGUAACAGAUAGAAGAGUCACAUGAUGGAAGAAGCUCUGAUCCCUGUCAGUUCUUGGAGAAAAUCUACUCAGAGUUUAAACGAGUAAACAACAUUGGACCUUACCUGAGGAAG